CGCGAGCGGACAUGACGUGUGGCUGUCGUAAAAACCCUAUUUGUAAACAACCAGCCCUUUAACUCGGGGCUGCGUCAUAAACACGGCGCGCUUGGAAGACCACGAUGUCAUCUUCCUUCUGUCAGGAGGAUCCAAGUGAAGCUACAGGAGUUUCAUUAACGUCAACAACUUGGACCGAACACUUUGUUUUGCUUGAUGAAGAGCAGGAAGGGCAGCCUGGAGAGAAAGAGAAGCCGGGUUGAGCCCACUACCAUCAUCCAUGUACCACGAGGAAGAUGAGGGAGAGAAAUGAUCCUACCAUUAAAGAGACUGUGAAAAGAACGUUGAGAACAUCACCACUCUACAGGAAGACACAGUCCAGUAAUGGGUGUCAGAAGUUCAGUAGUGAACGACAGAAACAAACAAUCCAAAUUACCUGCAGAAAGCCCUUGAUGGACGCUUCAGCUGCAUCGUCAGACUGGCAGUACUGAUGCAUUUACUGAGAGGGGACGUGAGGGCCUACUCUGCGUGCUCAGAGUUCAAGCCCAGCAGGCUGCAGCGGGCCUGACAUAUUCUGGAACAGCAGCACAGUCUUUGGAUGACUCCUCUGAAGAUGAAAACAUGGCGAGUUCUUCUCAAGAGAAGCAGUACAGGUGUGCCUCAGCUCCACGGUCCCUCCUGCAGCCUCCGCUCCUGAUGCUAACCUCAUGUCUCCAUCACACCAAGCAGCAGACCUGGAUUGACAGACCUUUCUCCAGAGCUGCCCCCUCCCUCUGAAACCCCCCUCUCCAAAACACUAUUUGUGUAGUUUUUAAAGUAUUUUUUGCAUGAGAAUUGUUGAUCAUAACAUUUCCA